CCCGCACAAGCGGUGGAGCAUGUGGUUAAUUCGAAGCAACGCGAAGAACCUUACCAGGCCUUGACAUGCAGAGAACUUUCCAGAGAUGGAUUGGUGCCUUCGGGAACUCUGACACAGGUGCUGCAUGGCUGUCGUCAGCUCGUGUCGUGAGAUGUUGGGUUAAGUCCCGUAACGAGCGCAACCCUUGUCCUUAGUUACCAGCACGUUAUGGUGGGCACUCUAAGGAGACUGCCGGUGACAAACCGGAGGAAGGUGGAGAUGACGUCAAGUCAUCAUGGCCCUUACGGCCUGGGCUACACACGUGCUACAAUGGUCGGUACAAAGGGUUGCCAAGCCGCGAGGUGGAGCUAAUCCCAUAAAACCGAUCGUAGUCCGGAUCGCAGUCUGCAACUCGACUGCGUGAAGUCGGAAUCGCUAGUAAUCGUGAAUCAGAAUGUCACGGUGAAUACGUUCCCGGGCCUU
rnacentral:rRNA from 1 species